rnacentral:tRNA from 1 species
GCCUUUGUGAUGUAAUUGGAAGUAUACUCGGCUUGUAUUCGAGAGGUCCAGGGUUCUAGUCCCGGCGAGGGCA